GACAGAGGGUGCAAACGUUGUUCGGAAUUACUGGGCGUAAAGCGCGUGUAGGCGGCACGGCAAGUCGGAUGUGAAAGCCCGCGUCUCAACCGUGGAAGUGCACUCGAAACUGCCGAGCUAGAGUCUCGGAGAGGAAGGUGGAAUGCUUGGUGUAGAGGUGAAAUUCGUAGAUAUCAAGCAGAACACCUGUGGCGAAGGCGGCCUUCUGGACGAUGACUGACGCUGAGACGCGAAAGCGUGGGGAGCAAACAGG
rnacentral:rRNA from 1 species